rnacentral:rRNA from 1 species
UUCCGGUUGAUCCUGCCGGAGGCUACCGCUAUUGGAGUUCGAUUAAGCCAUGCGAGUCGCGAGUCCUAGGGACUCGGCGUACCGCUCAGUAACACGUGGGUAACCUGCCCUAUGCUGGGGGAUAACCUCGGGAAACUGAGAAUAAUACCCCAUAGUUCACCACGCCUGGAACGGUGGGUGGAUGAAAGCUCCGGCGGCAUAGGAUGGGCCUGCGGCGUAUCAGGUUGUAGGGGGUGUAAUGUACCCUCUAGCCAUCUACGCGUACGGGUGUUGGGAGACAUAGCCCGGAGAUGGAUUCUGAGACACGAAUCCAGACCCUACGGGGUGCAGCAGGCGCGAAAACUUGGCAAUGCGAGCAAUCGUGACCAGGGAACUCCAAGUGCAUCGGGUAAGACCGAUGCUUUUCUUGACUCUUCAAAGGUCUUGGAAUAAGGGGUGGGUAAGGACGGUGCCAGCCGCCGCGGUAAUACCGGCGCCCCAAGUGGUAGUCGCUUUUAUUGGGCCUAAAACGUCCGUAGCCGGUCUGGUACAUUCGUGGGUAAAUCAACCAGCUCAACUGGUUGAAUUCUGCGAGCACGGCCAGACUUGGGACCGGGAGAGGUGUGGGGUACUCUCAGGGUAGGGGUAAAAUCCUGUCAUCCUGAGAGGACCACCUGUUGCGAAGGCGCCACACUAGAACGGAUCCGACGGUCAGGGACGAAGCCUAGGGGCACGAACCGGAUUAGAUACCCGGGUAGUCCUAGGUGUAAACGCUGUGGACUUGAUGUUGGGGGCGCUCCGAGCGCACUCAGUGUCGAAGCGAAGGUGAUAAGUCCACUGCCUGGGGAGUACGGUCGCAAGGCUGAAACUUAAAGGAAUUGGCGGGGGAGCACUGCAACCUGAGGAUUGUGCGGUUUAAUUGGAGUCAACGCCGG